rnacentral:lncRNA from 1 species
GUCAGGAAUCUGAUGUACAGUAGUUGUCGUUUGUUUAUGUAAUAUAUACGUGUUUCUCGUUUCUCGUUUUGUUUAUAUAGAUUAGACCGUUGGUUUUCCCGUUUGAAUGGUUUUACACUAGUAAUUUUGGGGCCCUUUAUAGCUUGUUGUUCGGUGUGAGCUAAGGCUCCGUGUUGAAGGCCGGACUUUAACCUAUAAUAGUUUACUUUUUAAAUUGUUAUUUGUAUGGAGAGUUGUCUCAUUGGCACUCACACCACAUCUUCCUAUAUCUAUGGA